rnacentral:misc_RNA from 1 species
GAUGAAGAACGCAGCGAAAUGCGAUAAGUAAUGUGAAUUGCAGAAUUCAGUGAAUCAUCGAAUCUUUGAACGCACCUUGCGCCCCUUGGUUAUUCCAAAGGGCAUGCCUGUUUGAGUAUCAUGAACACCUCAACUCUUGUGGUUUCCCACAAUGAGCUUGGACUGUGGAGGUUUUGUUGGCCCUGUGGUCAGCUCCUCUCAAAUGGAUCAGCUUACCGGUGUUUGGUGGCAUUACGGGUGUGAUAACUAUCUACGCUCGUGGUCGUCUACAAAUAACCUCCAGUGAUGGAGGUUCGCUGGAGCUUAUAAAUGUCUCUCCCCAGUGAAGACAGCCUUUGAACGUUCGAUCUCAAAUCAGGUAGGACUACCCGCUGAACUUAAGCAUAUCAAUAAGCGGAGGA